rnacentral:rRNA from 1 species
UACGUAGGUGGCAAGCGUUGUCCGGAUUUAUUGGGCUUAAAGGGCGCGUAGGUGGUCAAUUAAGUCAGUGCUGAAAUAUCCCGGCUUAACCGGGAGGGUGGCAUUGAUACUGAAUGACUUGAGUGGAGUUGAGGUAGGCGGAAUUGACGGUGUAGCGGUGAAAUGCUUAGAUAUCGUCAAGAACACCGAUAGCGAAGGCAGCUUACCAAGCUCUAACUGACACUGAUGCACGAAAGUGUGGGGAUCAAACAGG